AGUGAACGCUGGCGGUAGGCCUAACACAUGCAGGUCGAACGGCAGCACAGUAAGAGCUUGCUCUUACGGGUGGCGAGUGGCGGACGGGUGAGGAAUACAUCGGAAUCUACUUUUUCGUGGGGGAUAACGUAGGGAAACUUACGCUAAUACCGCAUACGACCUACGGGUGAAAGCAGGGGAUCUUCGGACCUUGCGCGAUUGAAUGAGCCGAUGUCGGAUUAGCUAGUUGGCGGGGUAAAGGCCCACCAAGGCGACGAUCCGUAGCUGGUCUGAGAGGAUGAUCAGCCACACUGGAACUGAGACACAGUCCAGACUCCUACGGGUGGCAGCAGUGGGGAAUAUUGGACAAUGGGCGCAAGCCUGAUCCAGCCAUACCGCGUGGGUGAAGAAGGCCUUCGGGUUGUAAAGCCCUUUUGUUGGGAAAGAAAAGCAGCAGGUUAAUACCCCGCUGUUCUGACGGUACCCAAAGAAUAAGCACCGGCUAACUUCGUG
rnacentral:rRNA from 1 species